rnacentral:rRNA from 1 species
GGCAGCCGCCGCGGUAACACCGGCGGCCCGAGUGGUGAUCGUGAUUAUUGGGUCUAAAGGGUCCGUAGCCGGUUUGGUCAGUCCUCCGGGAAAUCUGAUAGCUCAACUAUUAGGCGUUUCGGGGGAUACUGCCAGACUUGGAACCGGGAGAGGUAAGAGGUACUACAGGGGUAGGAGUGAAAUCUUGUAAUCCCUGUGGGACCACCUGUGGCGAAGGCGUCUUACAGAACGGGUUCGACGGUGAGGACGAAAGCUGGGGGCACGAACCGGAUUAGAUACCCGGGUAGUCCCAGCCGUAAAACGAUGCUCGCUAGGUGUCAGGCAUGGCGCGACCGUGUCUGGUGCCGCAGGGAAGCCGUGAAGCGAGCCACCUGGGAAGUACGGCCGCAAGGCUGAAACUUAAAGGAAUUGGGCGGGGGAGCACAACAACGGGUGGAGCCCUGCGGUUUAAUUGGACUCAACGCCGGACAACUCACCGGGGGCGACAGCAAUAUGUAGGCCAAGCUGAAGACUUUGCCUGAAUCGCUGAGAAGAGGUGCAUGG